AUGCCUUGGGAUUCCACAACUACCACAAAUCACAUCAUCUGGGUAAAACGGAUUGGGAGGCAAAUAAAUGUGAGAAGUACAUGUUUGCUUGGCUGGCAAAAGAGGAGGAUUACAGAGCCGAUGAUCCAGUUGGCAAGUGGUGAUCUGAAGACAGUGGCUGAAGUGCAACAGGAGAUGUCCCGCAAGACUGACACUCUCAUAGCUCGUUUGACGAGCCAGAUUAGUGCUAAGAGCAAGUACUUAACGGAACUUAAGUGCAAGUGUAAUCAGAUGGAUCUCGCUCUUCAAAGGGCCAUGGAAGAUAGCGACUCGCUGAACCAACGCUACAACGAAGAAAUGGGAAAGGUGCAGUCAACUGCCCGUGAACAUUCAUUGAAUUUUUUUCAUGAGACUGAUCAGCUGAGAAAGCAGUUGGAUGAGAAAGCGAACAACAUCAAAAGGAGAUCCAAGCAAUUAAGUGAAAUAGUUGCUCAAACUGACAUGGAGAGAAGAAAACUGGAGAAUGAGAGGACGAAGAAUGAUGGUCAAGACGACUCCCUCGACAUGGCCAGAAUUGAGCAAGAAAAAGCCAAUGAAAGUGUGCGGAUUCUUGUUGAGAAAUACGAAAAAGAGAAGGAAGUCGCUCUGAUCGAAACCUUGCAGUUAGAGAAGCAGCUUGAUGAGAAGCAUCGGCUGGAGCUGGAAAUUCAACAGCUUAGAGGCAAACUGGGGGUGGUGAAGCACAUGGAGGGAGAGGGCGUCGAUGGGAAGAAACGUACUGAAGAGCUGAAUAAGGAUCUACAGGAUAGAAUCGACGCGGCGGAAGACCUUGAAGAGCUAAAUCAAGCUCCGACUAUCAAGGAAAGGAUGACCAAUGAUGAAAUAAAACUUGAGCUUGUUGGUUUACAGGGCUCGGUGGAUCCGUUGGGCCCUGGUAGCAACAUUGGAAUCAGGAGGAUGGGUCAAGUGGAUGAGAAGCCGUUUGUUGAAGCUUGCAAGCCAAAGUACGGCGCGGAGGCGGAUGCUAAAGCUCUGGAAUUAUGCUCCAUGUGGCAAGACAAUCUGAGGGAUGCUAACUGGCACCCUUUCAAGAUAGCGACCACAGGUGAAAAGCCUUAG
rnacentral:rRNA from 1 species